rnacentral:rRNA from 1 species
UACAGAGGGGGCAAGCGUUAUUCGGAAUUAUUGGGCGUAAAGGGCGCGUAGGCGGCUUUGCAAGUGACGGGUGAAAUCCCUCGGCUUAACCGAGGAACUGCCUGUCAGACUGCAUGGCUCGAGACCAGGAGAGGUGAGUGGAAUUCCCAGUUGUAGCGGUGAAAUGCGUAGAUAUUGGGAGGAACACCAGUGGCGAAGGCGGCUCACUGGACUGGUACUGACGCUGAGGAGCGAAAGCCAGGGGAGCAAACGGG